GGCAGGCAAACCCUUUUAAACCUAAAGCUUGCAUCUCUUUUGUUAAACAAUUGCAGAACAAGCUCUGGGCAACAUAUAUAAACCAGAGUUUGUGCAACACUCAUGCACUAAAGUCCAGGAUCUACAUUAGAGCCAAAAUGGGAAAGGUAAUCUAAGAAUGGAAAUUCUAAGUACAUAAACAAAGUAUUAAUGUAUUAUUAUAUAAUUUUUUUUCUCUUGUGUAUGAAGAGGUAAAAUUAUUUGUUUAAUUACAUAGUUAUUAUUCAAUACUCUUGUUAAAGAAGGCACUUUUUUGAGUAAAAAAAAAAAGUAGAUGUGUGGAGGAUAUCAAAUUUCUUUCUAAAAAAAACCUAGAAAAAAGUCUACAAAAAUGCUUAGUAUGCACAAAAAAAGUAAACUGUAUUUUUUAGUAAAUUAGAAAUUCCAUUAGAAAGGAAAUAGGAAAAAAUAUUACUUUCUUAAUAUUUAUUAGAGUAUUUCUUCUUUAACAUAGAUUUAGCUCCCCCAUUACAAUAAAAAAGAGUAAAAAAAAAACCAAAAAAACUUUAAACUUAUCUGUUAUAUAAUACUAGGACUAUCUCCAUGCAUUUUUUUUUUACACAAAUGUAGCUGCCAUUUCUGUCUAUGUGCAUGGUGUAUGUAGUUUUUAAUAAAUACCUGUCGAAUUUGUCAACUCAAAUAUAUGAAAACACUAAAGGCAGUUUGCUCAGAUGAUUGCAGGUGGCAUGUGCAUGCACAAGUAAACCUUUUUAUAGUGUACUGGUUUAGAUACUAUGGUAAUGUACUAGUUUAGAUGCUACGGUAAUAAACUGGACUUGAAUUAUGUCAGAUUUGAAAAAUUGUCAACAGCAAGUAGUGCUCAUCACCAGUGGAGGUGGACAUGGGUAAAGUGAAAGUUAAAACGCAAAUGGACCAUAGAAUCUGAUGAAACUUUUCAUCUGCAACAUUUACCAGCUUUUGGCACUAACAAUCUUAAAUGGCUGCUUUCUACCAUCAAAGAUGCAAAAAUGUAAACUGUUCCUUUUUACAUGGAUUUACUUUAAGCGUGGUACAGUCCUUGCCUAGGAUAUUAACCCUUUGUCAAUAUCCAAUCCUCUUGCAAUGACAUUGUGAGGAUUAGUAAUCUCGGAAUCAAUCGAUUGCUUCUCAUAGAAAAUGAUUGUGGACCUACAGUGUAUACAGGACAAUAUCCACGCUGUCAAAUUGUCAAAUUGAUGCUUCGCUUGGAGAAGAAAUUAAUCCAGUGCUUCUCUGGAAAAGUAUGGUUAGGAGGAUAAUAUAGCUUACAGAGAAUCUUUAGUUAAUUUACUUGUUGUGUGAGCAAAUACAGUUUUUCCUUUUUACACUUUAUUGUAUUUAUUUCCACAAUUUGACAGAACUGUUUUGAUUCAGUUUUUUUUCCCCUUUCACUUUUGGUUUCAGAUCAUCUUCUACGAGGACAAGAAUUUCCAGGGCCGUUCCUUUGAGUGCAGCUCUGAUAAUUCAGACUUGCACUCACAUUUUAGUCGUUGCAAUUCCAUUAAGGUGGAGAAUGGAAACUGGAUUGUAUAUGAGCGUGCAAACAACCAGGGGCACCAGUACUUCCUGAAGAGGGGAGAGUAUCCUGACUUCCAACACUGGAACGGCUUUAAUGAUUCCAUCAAUUCCUGCCGAAUAAUUCCACAGGUGUGUAGAGAUCCUUAGCUCUAUGUAAAAGUAGUCAUCAGUGGUGUGAAUAAUAAUUCUUAGCGACAAUGACAUUUCUUCAAACUCUAUUUGUAACAAUAAUGAAUAACAUAUAUGUGAGCGUACUGACUAAUAUCAAGUUACAACUGAAAAAAAUAUGCAUCAAACAUAAAUAUUGCUAACUGCAUAAAAUUUGUUAAUUGCUACAUUUCAAAAAAUUUUCUCGUUAUGACCGCUUCAUUGUGAAGCUGCAUUCUUAGUGAGCUGUCCAGGAGGUGGGAGGGUCUGGGAGGGAGGGUCUGCUGCUGAUUGGCUGGAAUGUGUUUGCUGACUGUGAGGUACAGGGUCAAAGUUUACUCAAUGAUGAGUCCGCUGCGAACCGUUCGGCGGACAGUUUGGGACAUCACUAACUAUCAAAUCUUUCUGAAAAAAAUUAGAAUUUAUUUUUACUCUCACCAUGUUUUGUUUUCAGACAGGCCUAAAUAUUCGAUCUUUAAAUCCCAGAUUCAUUGGCUUUUUAAAACUCUGAAUGCCAAUGGUCCUUUGAAUACUUAAGGCUUGUAGUGUACUAACAGCUUUGAAAAUCAUGGUUUCAAACUGAAAUAGACUGCCAGCUGAGAAAACCAGUUCUCAAGUGGAGAAUUGACAUUUUAGGCUAAAAUGGCAAAAAUCUCCAACUCAGUUAAUUCUCCAGUUACAAUUGUUGGCAUACAUUUAAUUAAGUUUCACUGAUUUCAGUAGUCAUAUGCACUUUGGAAAAAAAAUCUUCUCACUUCAUAUGUAUAAUUGACUGAUAUGAAUGAGUUAUUUUAAUUUAAUAUUUUAAAACUGUAGAUCUUUUUAACGUCAAAAUAGAAACCACUGAAAUGUUACUUUUUAAAAACAAGGUGUCUAUAUAUGUUUAUGUGUUUUUUAUUAUUUGUUUUGCAGUAUCGUGGGGCCUUUAGGAUAAGAAUUUACGAGAAAGAAGAUUUUAGAGGUCAUACAUUGGAGUUUACUGAGGAUUGCCCAAAGGUUCAGGAGGAAUUUAAUUAUAAUGACAUCCAUUCAUGCAAUGUACUCGAAGGCCAUUGGAUCUUCUAUGAGCUGCCAAAUUACAGAGGAAGGCAGUAUUAUCUUAGACCUGGAGAGUACAGGAGAUUCAGUGAGUGGGGUGCCAUGACUCCAAGGGUUGGUUCCUUCAGAAGAGUUCAGGAUAUAUAUUAAAUAUACAUUGUUUCUAUCCGAACUAUUUUUUUCUCAUUUUGACUUUCAAUAAAACAUCCUGAUAUUAAAAGUUGAA